GUUUUCCUGGUGCAGCCAGGAAUCUGGAGUUGACAUCCUCUAUGGUGACGAUGUCACCAACGUUGGAAAGUUGGGCUUCCCAGGCCAGUGGAGUGGCUAAGGGGCUGCAUCUCUAGGAGGGGAAUCUCUCCUGACCCCCCAAGAGGAGCUUAUUUCCCAGGAGUGUGCCUGUGAGUUAAUUUCCAAGGCCAAUGUCUUUUCUCCACAGAUUCUUUUUAUUGCCAUGGAGACAGUCUGCUGCUCCGUCCAAUGGAGAGUCUGAGCAGCGGGCACCAUGACAACCUGUGGGGGUGGGAAGGACAGUUCCAAAGCACCUCACAGACCAGAGCAAGAACAGAGACAUGUGAUUGUCACAAGGGCGGCUGAUGAAAGGGGGCACCUUGACUCUUUGCUGCCUUCCUCUCUGGGAGCAGUGAGCUGGGAUGGGUGUGAUGGUGUGCUACAGUGGAUGCUGCUGUGGUUAUCAUCAUCACCAUCAUCACUGGCAACCAUUUACAAGCAACUACUCUGUGCCGGUCACCCAGCAAAGUUUGGUGAUACAAAAGCAGUGGGAGAGUCAGACAGUGGACUACCAACCAUAACAACUCCAGAACGAAGUGGUGUAGGACCUCAGAGGAAAGCACCUUUAACUUCUUCAGGGAAUGGAGGGCAGGGGUCCGGGAGGUGUUCACUAAAGAAAUGACCUUUGAGAUCAUGUUGCAAGGAUGAGCAGGAGCAGCUCCAAGAGGCCCAGGUAUGAGGGCUUGAGGCUUGGGGCCCUCUGUCCCCGUCACAGGAGAGCAGGGUAUAAGCAGGGAGGGGCAGGACUCUCAGGUGGAAAUAGUGAUGAGGACAGAGACAAAGGGUGUCAGUUCCUCUCAACAGCAGUGACCUGCCCCUCCUUUUCCCUGUGGCUACCACCUUGAGACCCUGACCUGUUCCAGUUGCUACAGUGGAGUCUGGAGCAAAAGUACUGGGGACCUUUAUGCAAAUGUGCUUUGGGGACUUCUCUUCUGGCCACAGCCCUCCCGCCACGAUGGCUGGAGAAGUAGCAGUGACAUGCUCCUCAGGGCAAGAGUGUUUCUAUUCCACAUGCUGCUCAUAUGCAGUCACUUA
rnacentral:lncRNA from 1 species